AGAGCAAGAAUUUCUUUUAUAACAUUCUGAGUUUAAUUGCGACAUUUUUAUGAACUUCAUUUUAAUAUCUUAUUUGAUAUAGUGUACUAAAAAUUAUGAAUAAAUUGAGUAGAAUCUUUAACACUUUUUUUCUUCUUUGAAUCUCGUGUAAUUUUGAUAAUAACAUUGUGAAUGUUGAAUGUGAGUUUGUUCCAAAGAUAAGGAACCGCAGGGGAAAAGGAAUGGUCCCUCAAACAAUAAUUGGGAGUUGGAGGGUUUGUAUAAAAAAUGGCGGCCAUUUUUGAUGACGUCAGUUUGAAUUCAGCCAACUUUUGCUCUAUAUCCAAUUCGAAAAUGAAUGCAUUUGUAUUGCCAAAAAAUUAAACAAUCGAGAAUAAAAUCUUUAAUUUUGUUCAAAGUAAAGCCUGACAGAGAGUACAUCUUUUAACGAGGUAUAUGGUGGUCACCUGACUGGUACUAGUGUAACCAGGUCGGGUUGCAGUACUUACUUUUCCCCGACUGGUUCCUUACUCCAGCAUUAUUUCAUACCAAACUUUUGUAACUUCGUGUUUGUGUAGAUUUACAUGUGAGCAGCCAUUGUGAUCAUGCUUUUUGCCUAGCGCCCUCUCGCGGCCAACUAAACUUUUUUUAACAGCGCGCGCCGCCUAGAAUUUGGCUCAACUAUGCGAUGGGCGUAGCGAGCGUGCAAGUUUUGCAUUCCAACGCGCUUUGUUUAAGCGGAAUAGUUGACAUUCCGGGCGUUUCGGUAUAGUUUUCUUGUAGGGCCUGCUGCGGAAUAUUGUUGAUUUCGAUCCAACACAUCGUUGAAUUCAGACCAUCUUUUACGAGCGCUUACACUCUUCACUUGUAUUACAAUUUUGAGAGAGGCUCCCUAUACUAGCAGUAAAAUAUUUACAUCUACAUUGUAUUUUCACUGCUGAUCGUCGAUUUUCACAUCGGAGUAGGCAUGAACGUAGAUCCUCCCAAGUGAUAAUAUCCUUGGAGCUACUUCAUUAGCCCAUUUCCCUUUUGACUGUCGUUUUUAUACACCCAACCAAGUUUCUAAUAUAAUUCUUGUGUAAAUACCUAAUAAUUUGUAUAUAUAUUGUCUCUAUUUGUACUGUAAAUAAACCAUUUCAUAUUUGUGAGACAACAGAAAA